CACGAACCGUACGAACGUUAUUCGGAAUUACUGGGCGUAAAGGGCUCGUAGGCGGCCAACUAAGUCAGACGUGAAAUCCCUCGGCUUAACCGGGGAACUGCCUUUGAUACUGGCGAUCUUGAGUUCGGGAGAGGUGAGUGGAACUGCGAGUGUAGAGGUGAAAUUCGUAGAUAUUCAGAAGAACACCAGUGGCGAAGGCGGCUCACUGGCCCGGUACUGACGCUGAGGUGCGAAAGCGUGGGGAGCAAACAGG
rnacentral:rRNA from 1 species